AUGUGUUUAUUGUCCAAAAGAGAUGAGAAACAAGAUCAUUCUUCAGCACACUCAUCGUUUGGAGAUAUGUUGAAGAGUAUUGGUGCCCCUCUCAAGGACAGAAGGAUGCUUCUUUUAAUUCCUCUUAUGGCAUAUUCAGGGUUACAACAGGCAUUUGUAUGGGCUGUAUUCACAAAGAGUAUUGUGACACCGGUGCUUGGCCUAUCUGGAAUCGGCGGCGCCAUGGCAGUAUAUGGUGUAGCUGAUGUAGUUUGUUCAUUGGUUGCUGGACGUUUUACCUCUGGGCUUCAGUCAGCUACGUUUAUAGUGUCAGUGGGAGCUAUUCUUCAGGCUGCUGUCCUCUUCUGGCUGCUUCUCUUUCACCGCCCAAUGGGCGGAUUACUUGGCGCAGCGGCUCCACUAUUGAUAGGUGCCUUAUGGGGUGUUGGUAACGGAGUCCUGAACACACAGCUAAGCGCUUUACUUGGGCUGCUCUUCGAGGAUGUCAAGGGUCUGGCAAUCAGCUGCCAUGGCAGUCAUCUUCUUCCUCAGCCAAGUCAUCAAACUGCAAGCCAUGCUUAUCUUGAUGUCCACGUCGCUCGUCGUCUCUUUUGGCUCGUUCCUGACACUCACCCUUGUUGUCGACAAGUCAUCAUCAACUAUCGGAUUGUGAGGUUAUUAUUUCUUUUUUUUAGGAACUGA
rnacentral:rRNA from 1 species